AUCCGUUAGCUGACAGUGCGUGACGUUCAGUACUGAAAAAGAAUGAGAUGCGCAGAGAAAGAGACAUGCUCUGAUUACUGUCAUUAGUUCAGAAACGGAAGGACGAGUAAUACAUGUUGCGUGUUCCAACGGAAAUGCUUUCGAAUUAUAAUAAUUCGAUGAAUUAUAGGCUUUGAAUGAAGUGCGGAACGGAUCGGAAGAAUGAAUGAAUGAAAAGAUUGACGAGAUUUAUGUUGAACUUUCAGUGGAUAUUUGA
ensembl:ncRNA C44B7.16 ncRNA